rnacentral:rRNA from 1 species
UACGGAGGGGGCGAGCGUUGUCCGAAGUUACUGGGCGUAAAGCGCGCGUAGGCGGGGCGCCAAGUCCGCUGUGAAAGCCCGCAGCUCAACUGCGGGGGGUCGGUGGAGACUGGUGCUCUUGAAGCGGCUAGGGGAAGAUGGAAUUCUUGGUGUAGCGGUGGAAUGCGCAGAUAUCAGGAGGAACACCGGUGGCGAAGGCGGGUCUCUGGGCCGUUACUGACGCUGAGGAGCGAAAGCGUGGGGAGCGAACAGG